UACGGAGGGAGCUAGCGUUGUUCGGAAUUACUGGGCGUAAAGCGCACGUAGGCGGCUUUGUAAGUUAGAGGUGAAAGCCUGGAGCUUAACUCCAGAACUGCCUUUAAGACUGCAUCGCUUGAAUCCGGGAGAGGUGAGUGGAAUUCCGAGUGUAGAGGUGAAAUUCGUAGAUAUUCGGAAGAACACCAGUGGCGAAGGCGGCCCGCUGGACCGGCAUUGACGCUGAGGUGCGAAAGCGUGGGGAGCAAACAGG
rnacentral:rRNA from 1 species